rnacentral:rRNA from 1 species
AUUGAACGCUGGCGGCAGGCCUAACACAUGCAAGUCGAACGGUAACAGGAAGAAGCUUGCUUCUUUGCUGGCGAGAGGCGGGCGGGAUAGAAAUGUCUGUGAAACUGCCUGAUGGAGGAGGUUAACUACUGGAAACGAUAACUACUACCGCAUAACGUCGCAAGACCAAGGAGGGGGACCUUCUGGCCUCUUGCCGUCGGAUGUGCCCAGAUGGGAUUAGCUAGUAGGUGGGGUAACGGCUCACCUAGGCGACGAUCCGUAGCUGGUCUGAGAGGAGGACCAGCCACACUGGAACUGAGACACGGUCCAGACUCCUACGGGAGGCAGCAGUGGGGAAUAUUGGACAAUGGGCGCAAGCCUGAUGCAGCCAUGCCGCGUGUAUGAAGAAGGCCUUCGGGUUGUAAAGUACUUUUAUCAGGGAGGAAGGGAUAAAAGCUAAUACCUUUGCUCAUUGACGUUACCCGCAGAAGAAGCACCGGCUAACUCCGUG